UAGCAUAUCAAUAAGCGGAGGAAAAGAAACUAACAAGGAUUCCCCUAGUAACGGCGAGUGAAGCGGGAUGAGCUCAAAUUUAAAAUCUGAUAGUCUUUGGCUGUCCGAGUUGUAAUCUAGAGAAGUGUUUUCCGCGUUGGACCAUGUACAAGUUUCCUGGAACGGAACGUCAUAGAGGGUGAGAAUCCCGUCCUUGACAUGGACUACCAGUGCUUUGUGAUACACUCUCAACGAGUCGAGUUGUUUGGGAUUGCAGCUCAAAAUGGGAGGUAAAUUCCUUCUAAAGCUAAAUAUUGGCGAGAGACCGAUAGCGAACAAGUACCGUGAGGGAAAGAUGAAAAGCACUUUGGAAAGAGAGUUAAACAGUACGUGAAAUUGUUAAAAGGGAAACGAUUGAAGUCAGUCGCGUUUACUUGGACUCAGCCUUACCUCGGUUUGGUGCAUUUCCUUGUGAACGGGCCAGCGUCAAUGUUGUCCGUUGGAAAAGGGUUGGAGAAAUGUGGCUCUUUCGGGAGUGUUAUAGUCUCUGAUCGUAUACAACGGCUGAUAUUGAGUGGUACAGCAUGCUUCGGCGGUGCUUGUGCU
rnacentral:rRNA from 1 species